rnacentral:rRNA from 1 species
CUCGUAGGUGGCCAACUAAGUCAGACGUGAAAUCCCUCGGCUUAACCGGGGAACUGCGUCUGAUACUGGAUGGCUUGAGUUUGGGAGAGGGAUGCGGAAUUCCAGGUGUAGCGGUGAAAUGCGUGGAUAUCUGGAGGAACACCGGUGGCGAAGGCGGCAUCCUGGACCAACACUGACACUGAGGAGCGAAAGCCAGGGGAGCAAACG